AUGAACGCUGGCGGCGUGCCUAAUACAUGCAAGUCGAGCGAACAGACGAGGAGCUUGCUCCUCUGACGUUAGCGGCGGACGGGUGAGUAACACGUGGAUAACCUACCUAUAAGACUGGGAUAACUUCGGGAAACCGGAGCUAAUACCGGAUAAUAUAUUGAACCGCAUGGUUCAAUAGUGAAAGACGGUUUUGCUGUCACUUAUAGAUGGAUCCGCGCCGCAUUAGCUAGUUGGUAAGGUAACGGCUUACCAAGGCAACGAUGCGUAGCCGACCUGAGAGGGUGAUCGGCCACACUGGAACUGAGACACGGUCCAGACUCCUACGGGAGGCAGCAGUAGGGAAUCUUGCGCAAUGGGCGAAAGCCUGACGGAGCAACGCCGCGUGAGUGAUGAAGGUCUUCGGAUCGUAAAGCUCUUUUAUUAGGGAAGAACAACUGUGUAAGUAACUAUGCACGUCUUGACGGUACCUAAUCAGAAAGCAACGGCUAACUACGUG
rnacentral:rRNA from 1 species